GCGAAUUGGAUUUUGAGUUUUAGCAUCGAGGUUUGAUUCAAGGUUCCUGGUGCGGACUCCAUCUCAUUUAAUUGAGUAAUACUCAAAUACAAGCUGCAUUAAGUCCUAUUCUUCAUCCCAUUCUCAAUUAAUCUUGAUUGUUUGACACUUUGUGUGGUAAAUUUAUUGAUGUGUGAAUCUUGAGUUUUGUUGAUGUUGAUAUGUUUUAUAUCAUCGCGGUUGAUUGUUGAUAUUGAUUGAUG
rnacentral:lncRNA from 1 species